rnacentral:rRNA from 1 species
AUUGAACGCUGGCGGCAUGCUUUACUCAUGCAAGUCGAACGGUAACAGGCCUUCGGGUGCUGACGAGUGGCGAACGGGUGAGUAAUGCAUCGGAACGUACCCAGAGGUGGGGGAUAACGCAGCGAAAGCUGUGCUAAUACCGCAUGUGAUCUGAGGAUGAAAGCGGGGGACCGAGCAGCAAUGUUUGGCCUCGCGCCUUUGGAGCGGCCGAUGUCGGAUUAGCUAGUUGGUGGGGUAAAGGCCUACCAAGGCGACGAUCCGUAGCUGGUCUGAGAGGACGACCAGCCACACUGGGACUGAGACACGGCCCAGACUCCUACGGGAGGCAGCAGUGGGGAAUUUUGGACAAUGGGCGCAAGCCUGAUCCAGCAAUGCCGCGUGCGGGAAGAAGGCCUUCGGGUUGUAAACCGCUUUUGGCAGGAACGAAACGGUGUCCGCUAAUACCGGGCGCUAAUGACGGUACCUGCAGAAUAAGCACCGGCUAACUACGUG